UAUUAUUUUGACCAAAGGUCAUACAUAGACAUUCUAUAACAACUGAGUUUAUAAAACAUAGGCGAACGGAAAUUAAUCCAUCGCCUACAAUAAGUGCACAGGGGUUUUGAAUAGUCGGAGUGCACGGCGACGCCAGCAACAUCCUUUGGAAUUCAAUAAUGAUCCUUCCGCAGGUUCACCUACGGAAA
rnacentral:misc_RNA from 1 species